AACAAACGCUGGCGGCAUGCCUAACACAUGCGAGUCGAACGAGACCUUCGGGUCUAGUGGCGCACGGGUGCGUAACGCGUGGGAACCUGCCCUUAGGUUCGGAAUAACUCCCCGAAAGGGGUGCUAAUACCGGAUAAUGUCUUCGGACCAAAGAUUUAUCGCCUUUGGAUGGGCCCGCGUUGGAUUAGCUAGUUGGUAGGGUAAAAGCCUACCAAGGCGACGAUCCAUAGCUGGUCUGAGAGGAUGAUCAGCCACACUGGGACUGAGACACGGCCCAGACUCCUACGGGAGGCAGCAGUGGGGAAUAUUGGACAAUGGGCGAAAGCCUGAUCCAGCAAUGCCGCGUGAGUGAUGAAGGCCUUAGGGUUGUAAAGCUCUUUUACCCGGGAUGAUAAUGACAGUACCGGGAGAAUAAGCUCCGGCUAACUCCGUG
rnacentral:rRNA from 1 species